GGUGUUGUGCCUGAAUUAAAGGGCCGCUUUGAUAGAGCGUAACAUGGGGGUUAGAUUCCCCCCAACUCCU
rnacentral:tRNA from 1 species